rnacentral:rRNA from 1 species
ACCUGCGGAAGGAUCAUUGUCGUGACCCUAACCAAAAUAGACUGUGAACAUGUCAUCAAUUCCACCGGGUGAUGGCCAUAGUGUCGUCUCCUGGCAUGGGCCUCUAUCCUUCUUAUGACGGGUGGGGUCCACAAAAGAACCCACGACGUCGGAUGACGUCAAGGAACACUUUUAUUUAUUGCUUGCACAAUGGUGCGAACUUCUUGUUUGAUACACCUUGUGCUGUGAUGCUACCUUAAUCCACAAGACUCUCGGCAACGGAUAUCUUGGCUCUCACAUCGAUGAAGAACGUAGCAAAAUGCGAUACCUGGUGUGAAUUGCAGAAUCCCGUGAACCAUCGAGUUUUUGAACGCAAGUUGCGCCUGAGGCCACUUGGUCGAGGGCACGUCUGCCUGGGCGUCACGCGAAAAGACACUCCCCACCCUUCAUGGAGCGGGAUGUGGUGUUUGGCCUUCCGUGUCAUGUGAAUGGUUCGGUGGACUAAAGUAUAGGCUGCUAGCUAUGGGGCUGGUCAUAACACUUGGUGGAUGACAAAUGUUGUUCUCGGAGUUGUGACAUGCAUUGCUUCUAGCAAUAGUAUGGCUGUUAUGAACCCAUGCAUCGGAGCUUUGAUUGCUUCAACCAUGACCCCAGGUCAGUCGGGACUACCCGCUGAAUUUAAGCAUAUCAAUAAG